UGGGUUUGCAUGGGCUUUUAGUUCCGAUCGAGCAUCCGUACGAAUUCUCAACCAUGUGGUUUAGUCAUAUUAUGAUACUGUAUGUUUAAUUGAUAUCGUAUGAUCCGUGCAAGGUGCCUCCCUAGCGAAUGUUCUCGGUACCUUCAAACCAGUCGCCAACUCUACGUGUAAUCAUUAUUGCGCUUGAAAAUGGAAUACGACGAUGAACAUUCAUGUUCAAAUUUGAAUAUGGAUACGAAACUGAUAGUCCCUGCUGAUACAUAUGACAGCGAUACGACGAUAAAUAAUUUUACGGACCCAAUAAAAUGACGAAUGAUGGACAUAAUCGAAAACCAGCACGGGACCGAACUCACUCGCUUGGGCGAGUUCUGCGGAAUCAGGCGCAAAGUCAAGAUUGGGAACCUAACGCACCCGUGAGCAGAGAUUCACGAAACAAUCAUCUCUGCUCCUACCCCCGACGUUUCUUCAUGAGCGGAGGAGCGACACAGGUGCGGCGUGUAAAAAUACACUCUCACCUGACUGUUCCGAUGAAACAAACCUUUUUUGUUCAACGUUAGUUCCCCUUCCCCAAAAAUUUUAAGUUGACCGGAAUUGAACUCGAUCCAGGUUCCCGACUAUAGUCGAAAACAUGCCAUUGAAGGCGAGCGUCAUGUAUCUCCAAAACAUGAUAUUGACGUGCCGGGAGAACACCGUGUUAUGGAAGGCGAUUUCCCUGAGACUUUGUUGCCUGCAAGUCGUCUGCAAGACAGAUACUUUCACGGAGCCUCCAACUUCGACGUAAGCCACGAAGCACCUUGGAGAGGUAAACACAAACCUCCGAUAAAUUUUGGCCAUCCGCGUGGCUAUUCUGAAGAUCCUAUCAGGGAGCAUUGCCCGAGUAAUUUUGGGAAAGGCGGUGUCCGUCACUAUCGCAGGCGACUGGCAGGCCC
rnacentral:lncRNA from 1 species